CAGGGAGACAACACAAUGAUUUUGAUGCCUGAGUGCUUUUAUUCUUAGGCCGAAAUCCUGUCACCUUAGGUCGAUCGGUACCUCAACUUUGAAGUUAAGGAUCAGCAGCAAUGUUGAUUGCUUGAUGGAGAUUUUCAGUUCCUAAACUUUGUCUAGGUCACACCCCAAAAGGGAUGAGACUCCUGGGCCAUUAGCUCAGGUGGUUAGAGCGCACCCCUGAUAAGGGUGAGGUCCCUGGUUCAAGUCCAGGAUGGCCCAUUCGGUGUUGGGGGUUUAGCUCAGUUGGUAGAGCGCCUGCUUUGCAAGCAGGAUGUCAGGAGUUCGAGUCUCCUAACCUCCACUGACCGAACUUGAUUCCCAUCUCCAAUUUUUUUGGAGUUGAGCUCGAUUGGAGUGUGAUUUAGAUGUGUCCGCUGGAUGACCCCAGCUUCCUGUCAUUCCAAGUUUUAGGUUAAAGCCUUGAAUUUGGUUGAUAAGAUGCUGGGCUCGGAUCAAAUGAUCAAGCAAUUGAUGAUUUGAUUUGAAGUUCUAGCAGAACCUUGACAACUGCAUAGGUGAGUCUGGAAAAAACAAAGCAUCUUACAGAUGCAUUGUUUUGAAUCUGAUCUUCUGAAAGGGAGAUUGGAUCUAGAACAAUGAAAAUUCUUUUGAGCAAGAGCCGAGACUCUUGAGCGUUCUUUGAUUGGUGUCGAGCCAAUCAGAGUUUGAUCUUGUUUUUAGCAAUAAAAACUUGAGAAUCUGCUUUCAACGGCGGUAAGCGUUCAGGAGGUUAAUU
rnacentral:tRNA from 1 species